rnacentral:misc_RNA from 1 species
AUCAAUGGAGGCCCUAAGCUGCUCUGCUUCAUCUUCAAUGUUUAAAUCUGUGGAUGUGUUGUAUGCAGAAAUUUCACAUCAAUUUUAAGCCGAACACACAUAAUGUCCUUUAGUUCCACCGAAGAAUCAAAAGAAGUCUUCACAUUUUCCGUUUCUCGUGAACCAAACAAAGAUUAAGUGAUUAGGGAGCAAGGAGAGACGUUUAGCUUCUAGCGAAAGGCGUCAUAGGAAUCUAGAGGAGGAUGAGCCAACGGAGGCUGCCUCUGGAGGAGCUUUGAUCGGAGAAGAGUGAUUGCUACUGCGAGCUUCAGCGACUUGUCGCUCGUCGAUGCAGCAGCCAGCUUUGGCGUUUGGUGCUUGUUCGUUGGAGCCCAUUAUCUUGACAAGUAUAAUUGACGCGCAAGAUCAUUGGGCUUUCUCCCGUGCAAAAGUAAAAUUUGAACUCUGCCGUUGUUCAUAAGCCACUUCUACUGGCAAGUCAAACUGCUAUGCCGAAUAAAUAAAUAAUUAAUUUAAGGUUUCUCGGUUGGUUUCGCCGGCUUGAUGGUUGGGAUCAAUUCUGAUUCGAAAAGGUUUUAAUGUAUAAUGAUUUUGGUUCAAAACGAUUUCAAUACUGAUUCGG